rnacentral:rRNA from 1 species
AUGGCGUCGUUGAGCAGCAUGGGCUCCGCCUCCGCGGCCGCAGCGCCUCCUGCAGAGCGGCUGGCGGCGCGCCCGCACGUCAUACUUCUGGCUAGCCCCGGCGCCGGCCACCUCAUCCCCCUGGCCGAGCUGGCGCGGCGGCUCGUCGAGCUCCAUGGCUUCGCGGCCACGAUUGUCACGUUCACCAACUUCUCCGCCCCAGAACUACUUGCUUGCCUCCCCGCCUCCGUCGCCACCGUCGCGCUCCCCGCCGUCCAGAUGGACGACCUCCCCAAGAACGGCGGCGUGCUCGUGGAGCUCACCCGCCGGUCCCUCCCCAAUAUCCGCGCCCUCGUCCGCUCCAUCAGCAACUCCACCAGUACAGCCCCGCUCGCGGCGCUGGUGGCGGACUUCAUGUGCUCCACCGCGCUGCCCAUCGCCGCCGAGCUCGGCGUCCCGGGAUACCUCUUCGUCCCUAGCAACCUGGCCCAUGUCGCCCUCACGCGCUACGUCGUUGAGAUCAACGAAGGCGCCGCUCCCGGCGAAUACCGCGAUCUUGCGGUGCCUCUCGAGCUUCCCGGCGGCGUCUCGCUACGCCACGCGGACCUCCCGGACGGGUACCGUUCCAAGCACCAGGGUUAUGUGCAAACUGUGGAGUGGAGCCGGUGCCACUGCCUCGGCGAUGGCGUGCUGGUGAACACGUUCUACGAGAUGGAACCUGCUACCGUGGAAGCGUUCAAGCAGCUGGCGGUACCGGAACAAGGUUCAGGCGCGUUCUUCUUCCCGCCGGUGUUCCCCGUGGGGCCAUCCGUCAGGCGACCAGACCGCCACGAACCCACCGCCGGCGAGUUUUCGCCGUGCUUGGAGUGGCUUGAUCGUCAGCCAGCCGGUUCUGUGGUGUACGUCGCCUUCGGGAGCCGCGGGGCACUUUCUGUGGAGCAGACGGCCAAGCUCGCGGCUGGUCUCGAGACGAGCGGCCAAAGGUUUCUUUGGGUUGUACGGAUGCCAAGCACCGCCGGCGGCGACGAUCCGUUGGCGUGGCUCCCGGAGGGCUUCUUGGCGAGGACAAGUGGCAGGGGCCUAGCCGUGGCGGCGUGGGCGCCUCAGGUGCGCGUGCUGGCUCACCCUGCGACGGCCGCCUUCGUGUCACACUGCGGGUGGAACUCGACGCUGGAGAUCCUUCUUUUAUUCUAA